rnacentral:miRNA from 1 species
UCCCCGCCCCCAGGCCGCGC